UACGUAGGGGGCAAGCGUUGUCCGGAAUCAUUGGGCGUAAAGCGCACGUAGGCGGAUGUGUCAGUCAGGGGUGAAAUCCCGGAGCUCAACUUCGGAACUGCCUUUGAUACAGCACGUCUUGAGUCCGGAAGAGGUGGGUGGAAUUCCUAGUGUAGAGGUGAAAUUCGUAGAUAUUAGGAAGAACACCGGUGGCGAAGGCGGCCACCUGGACGGUUACUGACGCUGAGACGCGAAAGCGUGGGGAGCAAACAGG
rnacentral:rRNA from 1 species